rnacentral:lncRNA from 1 species
CGCUCAUCAGGAAUGUGUCGGCAGCGCGAGAAGAGGCAGAAGAAGAAGUCACAGGCGGGGCAGCGAACGUAGACGCGUGCCUCGCCGCCCAAAGUCAUGGAUACGACCGCAGAGGCCCGUGCCGACUGCCCAGAAAAUGAAGGACGGAGGCGCUCUAACCGUUCGCACGUCAAAGGCUACGUAUUGAGAGCCGUGCUAGGCGUCGCAGCCGUGGUGUCAUCAAUAUCAGGCUUCCGAACACUAAAGCACGGAAA